UUCAGCCAGAGGUGAGUGGAAUAAACUCUUUAUGUUUUAAAGUAAAUAAAUUAAUUCUUAGCAUGAUUCACGCAUCAUGAAUGCCAUGAGAUAUAUUAGGUUGUUUGCAUUAGAAUUCACGAAUAUGUUGCAUUGCAUAAUAUGUUGAUGAUGUGGAUGAAUGCUGAAUGAUCCUUUAGCCCUCCCAUGAUAUGAUAUGGUAUGAUAUGAUACGGUACGGAAGACCAGUGAGGCCCAUUCUACGCCCCUGGCACUAUGUGAGAGAAAGACCAGCGAGGCCCAUUCUACGCCCCUGGCACAGUUGGAAUGUUAUGUUAUGAUAUGUUAUGUAAGAGAAAGACCAGUGAGGCCCAUUCUACGCCCCUGGCACAGUUGGACCACUUAGAGGGCUAUGGGUGACAAAUUCAUCCUUGAUGUGAUUAGUUGUGAUGUGAUGCAUU
rnacentral:lncRNA from 1 species